GAGAGCAGCCGGAUCCAAAUUAAACAACUACAAAUUAGGAGAUAGACGAGUAUUAUUUUGCCUAGUCUAAACAAAAACUAAAGCGUCAGGGCUUGAAUGACAAAUUCCCAAUCACCAAUGAGGAGAGUUAAAAAUUGAGAGCACGAGUGAACUAGAGUUGGCAGGAGAUUGAGAGAGAAUUGUGGAUUUGUGAUGAGAAAAUUGAAAAGAUUGGGGGGAAACUAAAACAGAAAAUUAAAUACUGUAUAUUGUUGCUAAAAUUUACAAACAAUAAAAAUUAGUGCAGAAACACUAUACUUAGUCGACGCAUCAUGCCUACUUUAUGCUUUGUCUUGCUUAGAAGGCUACUAACUAUAUCAAGGUGACUGGUGUCCAAACAUAUAGCCCUCGGCAUACAAAACAGAUAUGCUGACCAGAUCGUGCUACACCUCUUCUUCUCGUUUCAUCAACACCAGUAGAGAAUGAAUGGUCCAAGUUCACCCUACAUUAGACUGGCACAGUUCGGUCCAUCUUUCUUGACUCGAGACCUCUUUCACCAAGGACUAAUUCAAAUGUCAUUACACAGGUGAGUAGUCCUCUAUUAUGCCGAGGAAUAUAAUAUAAGAAUAUAAGACUUUUAAGAGAUUCAUUUGGAACCGGACGAGAGUUGCGUGUUAAGAGAACAGAAGCUUCAAUAAUUCCAAUUGCUCGAUGUCACUUUCUCACUCAAUAAGAGAAUUACAGUGCUAUACUUUGUCAGCUGUUGAAUCAGGAACAGAUGCGAAAGAUGUAAGAAAUUCAAUGAGUUGCUGUCCCUCCAUAGCCAUGACUUUAGAUGGAUACAACUAUCAAUAAUUGUUCUUCAAUUUUUCAAUUACAAGUAAAUUCACCAUCUGAAGCUUUUGGGAGGAUGAACUGGUUUUAUUCAAUCAAAAAAAUAGAUUAUGUACAAAACGCCCAACAACCCAGGUUCCCACUACACUAAGUGAUGUAUUUGAUCCUUUUCCAUUAUAUUAGGUAAAUAUUUGGAUCAAAGUGUAAAUUUAAAAACUUUUGGGUUAUUCUCAAACUUAUCAAACUUUCUUAAUCCAUAAUAAAGUAAUUGUCACCUCCACUCAAUUAUGAAAACUUUUGUCACCUACACCUCAUUUUAAAGCUUUUUUGUCACCUACAGCUCAAAGCCCCAUGUUGCUAGGAUUGUGGAAUGAAUAAUAAUUUUUGAAACCAAAUAAUAUAAUUUCAUUAUUAUCUAAAUCAUGAUUAAAGAUUUUCUUUGAAUAAUUAAAUCUUAACCAUUAAAUUUAACAUUUGUCAUAUGUCAUAUUGAAGAGUGGGAAAUGGAGAGCAGCCGGAUCCAAAUUAAACAACUACAAAUUAGGAGAUAGACGAGUAUUAUUUUGCCUAGUCUAAACAAAAACUAAAGCGUCAGGGCUUGAAUGACAAAUUCCCAAUCACCAAUGAGGAGAGUUAAAAAUUGAGAGCACGAGUGAACUAGAGUUGGCAGGAGAUUGAGAGAGAAUUGUGGAUUUGUGAUGAGAAAAUUGAAAAGAUUGGGGGGAAACUAAAACAGAAAAUUAAAUACUGUAUAUUGUUGCUAAAAUUUACAAACAAUAAAAAUUAGUGCAGAAACACUAUACUUAGUCGACGCAUCAUGCCUACUUUAUGCUUUGUCUUGCUUAGAAGGCUACUAACUAUAUCAAGGUGACUGGUGUCCAAACAUAUAGCCCUCGGCAUACAAAACAGAUAUGCUGACCAGAUCGUGCUACACCUCUUCUUCUCGUUUCAUCAACACCAGUAGAGAAUGAAUGGUCCAAGUUCACCCUACAUUAGACUGGCACAGUUCGGUCCAUCUUUCUUGACUCGAGACCUCUUUCACCAAGGACUAAUUCAAAUGUCAUUACACAGGUGAGUAGUCCUCUAUUAUGCCGAGGAAUAUAAUAUAAGAAUAUAAGACUUUUAAGAGAUUCAUUUGGAACCGGACGAGAGUUGCGUGUUAAGAGAACAGAAGCUUCAAUAAUUCCAAUUGCUCGAUGUCACUUUCUCACUCAAUAAGAGAAUUACAGUGCUAUACUUUGUCAGCUGUUGAAUCAGGAACAGAUGCGAAAGAUGUAAGAAAUUCAAUGAGUUGCUGUCCCUCCAUAGCCAUGACUUUAGAUGGAUACAACUAUCAAUAAUUGUUCUUCAAUUUUUCAAUUACAAGUAAAUUCACCAUCUGAAGCUUUUGGGAGGAUGAACUGGUUUUAUUCAAUCAAAAAAAUAGAUUAUGUACAAAACGCCCAACAACCCAG
rnacentral:lncRNA from 1 species